rnacentral:lncRNA from 1 species
AAAAGAAGGAAGACUUGAAUAUGUUUCCAGGCUAUGUUAAAGGAGCUGAUGUAUUAGCAGAGAUUUAAGAUAUUUUGUGAAGCAAGAUCAUGGAGAAGGCAGAAAUGUAGGCCAGAGAAAAUGCACGAAUAAAGAUUGAAUGCUUCUUUCUUCAAUAAAAGAAAGGCAGAAGAUGAGGAUGAUUGAGGGUGGAGAUGGGAUUUUAAUUGGAAAACCAUUAUCAGAAAGACCAUCAUCUCACCAUAUUCAGAAAGUGAGAUAAGAUGAAGACCUAUGGAGGCUACACUACUUCAACAGCUGCUGCUGGGAUUGGGAUGAAAGCUGCUUACUGACCCAUGAAAAGGUUAGUGCACAGUUCUAAAGGCCUAACUGAUGCUGGAAUUACUUAAUUACUUUGGCUUGAAAUCAGUUUUUCUUUAACACUAUCUGGUUAUAAAAAUGGUUCAAAUGUAUGAUGAAAGUAUUUUUAGGGUUAAAAUAUUUUUAAAGUGAUUUGUUAAAAUUUUCGGUGCUAAUAAAUUUGAGGGAGUUGAUGAGAAUAUAUUUAAAAUAUGCAUUUGGCCAACUUCUCCAAACCUUCCUCCCACCCAGCUCCUGGAAAUCACCAUUAACGUCUGCCUCUAUGAGCUCAACUUUUUUGGAUUCCAC